UACGAAGGGGGCUAGCGUUGCUCGGAAUCACUGGGCGUAAAGGGUGCGUAGGCGGGUCUUUAAGUCAGAGGUGAAAUCCUGGAGCUCAACUCCAGAACUGCCUUUGAUACUGAGGAUCUUGAGUUCGGGAGAGGUGAGUGGAACUGCGAGUGUAGAGGUGAAAUUCGUAGAUAUUCGCAAGAACACCAGUGGCGAAGGCAGGUCUCUGGGCUGACACUGACGCUCAUGCACGAAAGCGUGGGGAGCAAGCAGG
rnacentral:rRNA from 1 species